CCUACGGGAGGCAGCAGUCGGGAAUUUUGCGCAAUGGACGAAAGUCUGACGCAGCAACGCCGCGUGAGGGAUGACGGCCUUCGGGUUGUAAACCUCUUUUGUCAGGGACGAUAAUGACGGUACCUGACGAAUAAGCCACGGCUAACUACGUGCCAGCAGCCGCGGUAAUACGUAGGUGGCAAGCGUUGUCCGGAUUUACUGGGCGUAAAGAGCGCGCAGGCGGUCGUUCAAGUCGCGUGUGAAAGCCCCCGGCUCAACUGGGGAGGGUCACGCGAUACUGAUCGACUCGAAGGCAGGAGAGGGUAGUGGAAUUCCCGGUGUAGUGGCGAAAUGCGUAGAUAUCGGGAGGAACACCAGUGGCGAAGGCGACUACCUGGCCUGUUUCUUGACGCUGAGGCGCGAAAGCUAGGGGAGCAAACGGGAUUAGAUACCCCGGUAGUCCUAGCCGUAAACGAUGGACACUAGGUGUUGGUGGUAUCAACCCCGCCAGUGCCGAAGCUAACGCAUUAAGUGUCCCGCCUGGGGAGUACGGCCGCAAGGCUAAAACUCAAAGGAAUUGACGG
rnacentral:rRNA from 1 species